rnacentral:rRNA from 1 species
GAGAGUGUCGCUGAUAAGCCUGGGGAAGGUGGCGACGACGUCAAGUCAUCAUGGCCCUUACGAGUAGGGCUAAACACGUGCUACAAUGGCGCAUACAGAGGGCGGCCAACUUGCGAAAGUGAGCGAAUCCCAAAAAGUGCGUCGUAGUCCGGAUUGGAGUCUGCAACUCGACUCCAUGAAGUCGGAAUCGCUAGUAAUCGUGGAUCAGAAUGCCACGGUGAAUACGUUCCC